GGUGAGGGAUGGGCUCGCGGCCUAUCAGCUUGUUGGUGGGGUAAUGGCCUACCAAGGCGACGACGGGUAGCCGGCCUGAGAGGGCGACCGGCCACACUGGGACUGAGACACGGCCCAGACUCCUACGGGAGGCAGCAGUGGGGAAUAUUGCACAAUGGGCGAAAGCCUGAUGCAGCGACGCCGCGUGGGGGAUGACGGCCUUCGGGUUGUAAACCUCUUUCAGUAGGGAAGAAGCGAAAGUGACGGUACCUGCAGAAGAAGCGCCGGCUAACUACGUGCCAGCAGCCGCGGUAAUACGUAGGGCGCAAGCGUUGUCCGGAAUUAUUGGGCGUAAAGAGCUUGUAGGCGGUUUGUCGCGUCUGGUGUGAAAACCCAUCGCUUAACGGUGGGCUUGCAUCGGGUACGGGCAGACUAGAGUGCGGUAGGGGAGAUUGGAAUUCCUGGUGUAGCGGUGGAAUGCGCAGAUAUCAGGAGGAACACCGAUGGCGAAGGCAGAUCUCUGGGCCGUAACUGACGCUGAGAAGCGAAAGCAUGGGGAGCGAACAGGAUUAGAUACCCUGGUAGUCCAUGCCGUAAACGUUGGGCACUAGGUGUGGGGAACAUUCCACGUUUUCCGCGCCGUAGCUAACGC
rnacentral:rRNA from 1 species